GACGAACGCUGGCGGCGUGCUUAACACAUGCAAGUCGAGCGGUAAGGCCCUUUCGGGGGUACACGAGCGGCGAACGGGUGAGUAACACGUGGGUGACCUGCCCUCAGCUCUGGGAUAAGCCUGGGAAACCGGGUCUAAUACCGGAUAUGACUCCAUGACGCAUGUUGUGGGGUGGAAAGCCUUGUGCGGCUGAGGAUGGGCCCGCGGCCUAUCAGCUUGUUGGUGGGGUGAUGGCCUACCAAGGCGACGAUCGGUAGCUGGUCUGAGAGGACGACCGGCCACACUGGGACUGAGACACGGCCCAGACUCCUACGGGAGGCAGCAGUGGGGAAUCUUGCGCAAUGGGCGAAAGCCUGACGCAGCGACGCCGCGUGAGGGAUGACGGCCUCGG
rnacentral:rRNA from 1 species